AGACAGAUCACUUAUUGUGGUCAUAACAGGCAGAAGGUCAGGGCAGGCAGCAAAUAGGAAUACAAGUAGUCCAGGACAACUCAAGUGGUAGGCAGGCAGCAAACAAUCGUACAAGGUAAUCCAAAGCAGAGUCAAACACGGGAAAGUAAUGCUCAGAAAUGUAGCCAAGGCAAACAAGACUUCACAGUGAGUCAAAACAAACACAAAGGGUUUAAAUAGUCUGAAUGAUGAGGGACAGGUGUGCAGUAAUAUGGGUUCCUGUUAAUUGUAGUCCAAACUGAAUGCUAAUACUUAGGUGAGUGAGACCUCUGGUGGCUGAUUGAGGAACCUUAACCGGUGUUCGUGGCAGAGUGCAACAGAGGGUGGACUUUUUCACUAGACUAAUGGAUGUGUUAUUAUGAAUUAUGUGUUAUUCUGGAUUAUGUUUCAAACAUGCAGCUUUUCACUUCACAAGACUUUAAUUUAUGGACUGAUUUUUUUAUCAGCUGUUUGAACCUCUCAGUCUGACAGCACCCAUUCACUGCAGAGGAUCCAUUGGAAAGCAAGUGAUGUAAUGCUAAAUGUCUCCAAAUCUGUUCUGCUGAAAUAACAAACUAUUACUUGAGGCAGUUGUGGCCUAAUGGUUAGAGACAGUAUGGCUGCCCACUGCUCUGGGGGUGUGUUCAUGGUGUGUGUGCUCUUGGAUGGGUUAAAUACAGAGCACAAAUUCCAAGUAUGGGUCGCCACACGUCACUUCCUUUUUUUUUUUUUUUAUGUUUACAACUGGGUCAUUGUGGCUAAUUUUCACUGCUCUUACGAAAUUUUAGGGGAAAAAAAUCUGAGACAAUAUUAAUGUUGAUAUGAUACUGCAAGCACCAUUAAGCUAUAAACCUGUGAGCAAUAAAAUCUCUUGAGUAUUUUAGAAUCAUAUUUCUUAGAAUAUUAUAAUAAAGAUUAAAAAUCAGAGACUAUGUAGAUUACCUCUUUUUAAUGAUGAUGUUUUAAGGGAAUUUAAGUUGUAGUGGUUGUACUUCCUCC
ensembl:lncRNA